AACACAUCCGGGUUCCAUUAUUUCGUCUAUGGUAUAAGGCUUUAUAAGGACCUCAGGAUAUAGAGGAAUAGCUCCACCACUAGUACCAACCGUCGACAUCGGCAUGAGAGAUGAGUCAUUAACAACACGUGGUUUAGCAACUUUUUUCUUACCACGUGAUGUUUUGGAUAUUCCUCGUUUCCCACCGUUCUCGUUCCUCCUGAUCCUCCUACUCCCGACACUGA
rnacentral:lncRNA from 1 species